rnacentral:rRNA from 1 species
AUUGAACGCUGGCGGCAGGCUUAACACAUGCAAGUCGAGCGGAGUGAUGGUGCUUGCACUAUCACUUAGCGGCGGACGGGUGAGUAAUGCUUAGGAAUCUGCCAUUUAGUGGGGGACAACAUUCCGAAAGGAAUGCUAAUACCGCAUACGUCCUACGGGAGAAAGCAGGGGAUCUUCGGACCUUGCGCCAAAUGAUGAGCCGAAGGCGGAUUAGCUAGUUGGUGGGGUAAAGGCCUACCAAGGCGACGAUCUGUAGCGGGUGUGAGAGGAUGAGCCGCCACACUGGGACUGAGACACGGCCCAGACUCCUACGGGAGGCAGCAGUGGGGAAUAUUGGACAAUGGGCGGAAGCCUGAUCCAGCCAUGCCGCGUGUGUGAAGAAGGCCUUUUGGUUGUAAAGCACUUUAAGCGAGGAGGAGGCUACUAGUACUAAUACUACUGGAUAGUGGACGUUACUCGCAGAAUAAGCACCGGCUAACUCUGUGCCAGCCGCCGCAGUAACAC